rnacentral:rRNA from 1 species
UACAGAGGGGGCAAGCGUUGUUCGGAAUUACUGGGCGUAAAGGGCGCGUAGGCGGCCUGUUAAGUCGAACGUGAAAUCCCCGGGCUCAACCCGGGAACUGCGUCCGAAACUGGCGGUCUGGAGUAGUGGAGAGGAAAGCAGAAUUCCUGGUGUAGAGGUGAAAUUCGUAGAUAUCAGGAGGAACACCGGUGGCGAAGGCGGCUUUCUGGACACUUACUGACGCUGAGACGCGAAAGCGUGGGGAGCAAACAGG